rnacentral:tRNA from 1 species
GCGGGUGUAGUUUAAUGGUAAAACCAUAGCCUUCCAAGCUAUUGUCGAGGGUUCGAUUCCCUCUACCCGCU